rnacentral:rRNA from 1 species
AGCAGCCGCGGUAAUUCCAGCUCCAAUAGCGUAUAUUAAAGUUGUUGCAGUUAAAAAGCUCGUAGUUGAAUUUCGGGGUCAGUAGGUUGGUCGUGCCACUGGUAUGUACUGGCCUCACUGGUUCCUCCUUCUUGAAGAACCGUAAUGCCAUUAAUUUGGUGUUGCGGGGAAACAGGACUGUUACUUUGAAAAAAUUAGAGUGUUUAAAGCAGGCUAACGCUUGAAUACAUUAGCAUGGAAUAAUGAAAUAGGACGUUCGAUCCUAUUUUGUUGGUUUCUAGGAUUGACGUAAUGAUUAAUAGGGAUAGUUGGGGGCAUUAGUAUUCAAUUGUCAGAGGUGAAAUUCUUGGAUUUAUUGAAGACUAACUACUGCGAAAGCAUUUGCCAAGGAUGUUUUCAUUAAUCAAGAACGAAAGUUAGGGGAUCGAAGACGAUCAGAUACCGUCGUAGUCUUAACCAUAAACUAUGCCGACUAGGGAUCGGAUGAUGUUAAUUUUUUAAUGACUCAUUCGGCGCCUUACG